AAGUAUACUAAGGUCUCACAAGUGUAAAGGGUUGGAGGCAUCUCGAACUCAUAAUUAUCACAUGAAUCAUCCAAAACACCGAGAUAUUUCACUUUCCGACUAACAACACUGUUGAUCCACCGCCUGAUCAGAGCCAGUUUAGGCUCACCAUACCCACUAGAAUCGUACUCUAACCUAAAACUUUGUAAGCAAGAUUGACUGUUGAAACCCAUAAAGCUGUCGACAAAACGCAAGAAUGUGUUGUGGUCAUACGAGAAUGUGUUGCGGACAUGGAAAUCACAAUAACUCAAGUUGAAUCCAGGUACAUACUUCCAGAGAUUUCUCCAUCUACUAGAUAACACGCUACUCUUAACUACAUCUUUCGUGGGAAGAUAGAAGAGUACCUGACAUAGCAAUGUUUCUGGCAAGUUGCUUAUCCAGUCAACUUCACGCGAGCCUUUGGCACGAACACGUUUCUCACCGGCUCCAUCCAUGAACUAUCAAAUGGAAAAGAAAUCCGUAAAAGCUUGUAAUAGAGGAAGUAUCGAUCGACAGUUCCUAUAUUUUGUCUACCAGUUCCACAUUCUUCGGCGGCCGUUCAGACUUCAGAGUUUCACUCUGUUCCUUAUCCGGUUCGGAUCAAUUCGGUUUACUGAUCCGAUUAGUCUUUGGUAUCAUGAUUAGUUAAUACGACAGCAUUUGUAAUUUUAACUUGUAAGUCAAGUGAUUGGGCUUGUAAUAAUGGGCUAAUGGGGUUAGACCAAACCGUUUGGUCGUUUUUGUGCCUUGACAAUCAAGGUCUCAUAUAAAAUCUUCAAAUUUACAAGUUCCUUCCCACUUUCUUUCAGAACAUAACUUAUAAAUAAUAAAAUGGACAGAACAUAGUCAUUACAACCAACAAACACAUGAUUGUCUUCCAAGAUACGAAACAUGAAAAUCAUCACAAACGAUGAAGAAAACAUAUACUUAACAUCAACCAAGUACCCAACAACUACGAGGUUCAAAAACAACAACUUUGCAUGAGGUAGAGAGUCUUGGAAUUGUAAGGAGUUCUUUGAGAAUGACAGAUUCUGAUUUCUCUCUGGAACUAUUCAAGCACAGAUUCAGUUUCUUGAGGAUUGGUGAAUUCUCCAAAAUGUAACUAACUACUUUCAUUCCCCUUGCCUCUCCUGUGAUUGGCCUCUCUAUCUUAACAUACUCGAGAGUUGUGAAGAAACACCGAGGUAUGGAUAAAACUCUAUCUCCGUCCUCUUUUGAGGAAUCCUUAAAUUCCUGCAGGUAUAAACCAAAUAGGAAAAACACAAGUUAAGCAUAUGAUAGUUCACCAUUAGCAUUAUAUAAAAGAGAUUAAAGUUUCUUGUUUAAUUAAAGUAAAAUAAUCCUAACCACGACAAGAGAUUUAACAUUUGGGCAGCUCUGGAGAAAGGUGGACAACAUUUUCAAGGUGUGGUCUUCGAAGUCUAUGUGCAAGGAGGAUAGGUUACGAAAUAAGGGUAGUUCACACCCCAAAUCAUGUAUAACCUGCAAAGAAAAGUUGGGUGAUUAUGUUUCUUAAGCACCAAAACAACGAAUUCAGCAAACCAAAAAAACUUAAGCGCAAAUACAAAGGUUACCUCAAGAGUAUGCGAAGAGAUGAACAAUUUUUUGACACUAGAGAUCUCGGCGAGAAAAUCUUGAAUCAUUUUUCUCUUUGGCCGAUCAUUUGGAUGCGGUAGCUCUUCCAUAUUAAAUAUAAUAUUGAUCUUCGCCUCCACAAGAGAACCCGAAUUCUUCAUUUUGAAUUUUGCAGUUGAAUGAUCACUGAUGUUCAGAUACUCAAGCUUAGGAGCAUCAAUUGCAACUUCUAAUUCAUCCCAACCGUCAGAACAGUUGCCAAUAUGUUUGAAGCUCAGUAGAGACCGAGAACUAACACGUAAAACAUUUAUAUCAUCAACGGAACUCCUGCUUAUAAUCAAGCUUUCAAGAGCUGAACAGCUUGAGAUGAUCUUUUCCAAAACCAAAGCAUUGGAAAACUUAACUAUAUCAAGCUCAAUAACUUUGACCAAAGGCAAAGAUAUAACCUUAGGAUUAGGCAAGAUCACAUUACAGAGCUUUAAAGACACCAAGCUCUCGCAUGUGUAAACGGAUGGAGGUAUCUGGACUUCCUCAUUCCCCCAAGUGUAGUCCAAAACGUCGAGAACUUUAAGUUUUUGGUCGACGACAAUGUUGAUCCACCGCUUGACAUUAGAAAUAGUGCGCUCUUCUUCAUCACAAUCGUACCUUAACCUAAAACUUUGGAAGCAAGACUCUCUGUCUAAAGCCAGAAACCUAUCAACAAAACUCACGAAAGCAUUAUAGUCUAGAAAUUGAUUGUACUCCACGUUCAAACCAGGUACAUAUCUCCAGAGAUUUCUCCAUCUUUUGGAUAAGACACUACUCUUAACCACAUCCUUCGUGGGGAUAUUCAACAUUAUCUGACAUAUUAAGGAUUCUGGUAAGUUGCUCAGCCUAUCCUCUUCGCUUCUUCUUGCACGUUUCUCAUCUCCUCCUGUAUCCAUGUUAAUCUGCAUCACAGAUGUCAAAUCAGAUAGAAAUACUCAACAUUUGAUAGAAAAAUUUCGCUAGAAUCAUACAAAAUAUCUAUUGAAUUACACAAGGAACCUAAGGAAAUAAAUCUGUACCUGCGAUGUCGCGAAGCAGCAUGAAGAAAUCAAAUAUGAAGGCUCCUGAAGAAGUAUGAUAUAUAGAGAGACGAAUCCUCGUGGAAUUCACCGGCCCAAGGGUUUUCGUAACGCUUGUUUUUUCUAACUGUUCCACUCCACUAGUGGCUAAUAACCAGAGUGGCGCACAAUAGAAUAACCGACUUGUGUCAUUAGUCAAAGAAGCGCAUAAUAGAACAAUUAACUCGUGCCUCUGUGGGUCCCAUAUUUUAAUUAUAGGCGCGUCCCUUAACUUUUUUGUACUAUGUCAAUGGGCUGAAAGCCCACAACUUAAUUUAGGCUGCGGCAAUUGUUACUGCGUAAAAGGCUAUACAUAAUGGGCCUAAGCCCAUAUGUAUAGAAGGUGGGAUAAAAUAAUUACACUCCCGCCGAGGCUCUUCCCUUGUCCCGCCUCUCUCGCUCAAACACUUUUGACUAGAGAAAUCGGAAGAACAAAAAUUUCCCGAUAAUCUUCCCCAACUUUUUUUGUUACGAUCUUUGCUUAGAUUUCGUCUGGAAUAAUUCGAUAGGCGAGGAAAUUAUGAGGGAAGAAGAAAUUGAGAAGAUCCGAGGCGUGGUUCGAGACUGCGUCAGUAAGCAUUUGUACUCGUCGGCCAUCUUCUUCGCCGACAAAGUAGCAGCUCUUACCAAUGACCCAUCUGACAUAUAUAUGCAAGCUCAAGCUCUUUUCCUCGGCCGCCAUUACCGUCGCGCUUUUCACCUUCUUAACGCUUCUAAGAUUGUCCUCCGAGAUCUUCGAUUCCGUUACCUCGCCGCAAAGUGCCUCGUAAUUCCGAAUUCCACUAUCUAUUUCACUUGUUUUGAUUGGGACUGGUUUAGGAAUCUCAGAUUGUUUCUCUUGAUUUGAGGGUUUUAGGGUUUAUCGGUAAUUAAUUUCUAUGUGUUCUCAGGAGGAAUUGAAGGAAUGGGAUCAGUGUCUAUUGAUGCUUGGUGAUGCGAAGGUUGAUGAUGAUGGAAUUGUGUAUGAUGCUAAAGACGGGAACGUGAUAGAUUUUGAUAAAGAUGGAGAGGACCGAGAGAUUAAUGUAAGUUUUUUCACGACUUUUAAAUGUAUAAUAGAGAUCUAGGUAGUAUUAUCUUCUCGAUUCUGGAAGGUUUGUUAGCGAAACUGUUGGAAUUACAUUAACUGGUUGACUACUACUUGGUUAGGAUAGUAGCUGAACUGAUAUAUGGUGAUUUACUUUUGCAGAUAUCAUCGGCGAUAUGCUUUCUAAGAGGAAAAGCAUACGGAGCCUUACAAAACCGGUCUCAGGCUCGACAAUGGUUAGUGAGCCUUCUUUCACCUAUCUUUCUUGUUCAGGGAUCAUUUGUUCAUCUGCAUUUUGAUGAUUGUGAGAGAGUGAUCUUAUUGAUUUAGUGGUGUUACAUGAACUUAGCAUGUGUAUAAGAUUUACUCAAGUGCUAGUAGGAAAUAUUGUGAACUUGUGUGUAUGUUGGCUGAUCCAUCUAUUAGGAUUGAGUGUUGUGUGGGAAUCUUGAACUUCAUAGCUAUUUAACUCAUCAUUUCGGUUUGUUUGCAGGUACAAAGCUGCUAUCAAGGCUGAUCCUCUGUGCUAUGAGGUACUUCUAGCGCCCUAGUCAAUUUGUGCAUGUUAUUUUUUACUUACUAUGGGAAGUUGCAGAGCUAAUGUGGGAAGAUAAAAUUCUUUUAAUUUAUUGUAUAGUAGUGAAAACCUGAUGUACCUCUGUAGAUAUCAGAAAACUGACAUGGACGUGAUUUCUAUAAUCUAUCCUUUCAGGCUUUGGAAUGCCUUAUUGAGAGCCAUAUGCUUACAUCUGAAGAAGGUGAGUUAUAGUUUAUGCAUUCUUGUUGCUUUUUAUUUUUCGUCUUAUUUGUUUCAUGGUCCAGUCGUUUACAUGACUAGAAGGUUACUGAGACUUCAAUUAUAUAAAAUUCAGAAUCGAGUCUGCUUUCUUCACUACAAUUUAGUCCAGAAGACGGAUGGCUCUCUUCUUUCUAUUCAUGCUUGAUUAAGAAGGUAAACAUUAUCUAUUGAGUAAAGUGUCUGAUCCAAUGUGUCAAUAGUUAUGUGGCACUUAUAUUUCGAAUUUGCUUGCUGAUUCUCUGUUCUGUCGAUUUCCUUUUGUAAGCAUCUUUUCUUUUCUUCUUGGUACUUACUAGUUCUUCGUGUCCAGUAUGACAAAGAGAGCACAGUAGAACUCAAGUUUAAGAAGCUUGAGAAUGAGACUAGUGGUAGUGUCUCUGGCUCAUCUAUGAUCACAUUGGCUAAUAACACUGAUCUGUUGGCCUGUAAAGCUGAGUACUACCAUCAAUGCUGUGAAUAUCAGAAGUGUUUUGAACUAACCGCGGCGUAAGAAACUUGAGAAUGCUGUGUAUAUUACUGCUGAUUCUAAAUUCUGAGCAAUAUGAAACUUGAAUGAUUCUAGCAGUGUGGUCUCUUUUGGUCUUAUUUGACAGACUCCUUGAGAAAGAUCCUUUUCAUCUGAAGUGUACGCUGGUACAUUUGGCCGCUGCCAUGGAACUUGGUAAUUCAAAUGAGCUCUAUCUAAUGGCGUGCAAUUUGGUUAAAGACUACCCUUCGAAGUGAGUAUUAAAUUUAUUUUCUCAAGCUAUAUGGCAUGUGGGUGAGCAUGUCAAUUGGGAUAUAAUUCUUAUGUUUUAUCCCAAUCCUAGCUAGGAUAGUUAACCUGUUUUAUGGUUCAGCUUUUCAAGACCAUGAAUCAACGUUGAGAGCUUGUUUCUUUGGCUGAAUAUGUUUUUUGUACUUGAUCUCGUUGAUCAUGUGAAAAUGUUUCAAAGUUUUGUGUUUGAGACAAAUUUCAUGAUUACUUGAUGCUCUGUGGUAUAAAUACUCAUACAUGGUCUUGUAGGGCGUUGUCUUGGUUUGCGGUGGGUUGUUACUACUAUUGUAUCAAAAAGUAUGCUGAAGCUCGGCGGUACUUUAGGUAACUAUGCUGUGGCAUUAUGCUGUCUUGAUCAAAUCUAGUAGGUAGGUGCAUAUGUGUCUGACCUGGAGCUUCAUUUCUUUUAAUAUGGUCUUGCAGCAAAGCUACGGGUAUUGAUGGCUCAUUCUCACCAGCUCGGAUAGGUUAUGGUAAUUCCUUUGCCGCCCAAGAGGAGGGUGACCAAGCCAUGUCUGCCUAUCGCACUGCCGCUAGACUAUUUCCAGGGUAAUCAAGUUACUCUUGUUUUCUUCAAAACUAGUGACUGUAAAUCUGUAACUUGUGACUAAAAUGAAUCAUCCUUAGCCCUGAAGCAUUGUAGAAGUCUUCUUAUUACGUUACAAAUUGUUUUUUACAGGUUGAAUCUUGAUAUUAUUUUGUUCCAGGUGUCAUUUGCCAACUCUGUACAUUGGAAUGGAGUAUAUGCGAACUCACAGCUACAAGCUUGCGGACCAGGUAACAAAUUAGAAAUUGCUGUGUGGUGUCUUCAACUUAUAUGACUUAGUGUUUUGCUAACAUUGUAUUUACUUUAAUCCCUUCUAUUUUGUCUAGUUUUUCAUGCAAGCAAAGGCGAUAUGCCCUUCGGAUCCACUUGUUUAUAAUGAACUCGGAGUUGUUGCAUAUCAUAUGAAAGAGUGCGUUCCUCUUCUCUUUACAGUCUGCUUAUCUCCGAAAUUUCCAAAUGCUAGUAAUGACAAAGCUACAUUAUAGAAUGGGGAGAAGAUAACUAUCUAGUAAACUGAGUCAACAACAUUAACUACAUUUCAGGUAUGGUAAAGCUGUGCGGUGGUUUGAGAAGACAUUGGCCCAUAUACCAUCUGCAUUAACUGAAUCCUGGGAACCAACUGUGGUCAAUCUUGCUCAUGCAUAUAGAAAGCUAAGGUAUAUUGGCGCACACAGAACUACCAUGAUCUUCCUCUUAUGUAGAUAAUCUCGUGUUGUGAAUUGACUGGUCAAAAUUCUUGUCAACAGAAAGGACCGUGAAGCUAUCUCCUAUUAUGAAAGAGCACUUACACUAUCAACUAAAAGCUUAAGCACUUAUUCCGGCUUGGCUUACACUUACCAUUUGCAGGUAUUUGAAUGUACUUUUAAACACCAGUCAUUUAUUCGAAACAAUACUAACUUUGAUUAUCACAAAACCCGUAAUUUUUCCAUUUCAAUCUCAUUCUAUUCCAGGGGAAUUUCUCAGCUGCCAUCUCAUAUUAUCACAAGGUAUCAUAUUAUACACACUACUAUAACUAAGAGAACUAUAAUUAUUUCCUUAAUAAUUAACAUAUAAACACUUCUCUUCUCUAUCAGAUGGUGAGCUAUACAUUUUUCAUUUCCUCUGAGUCUUUUAUUCUGUUUCUCUUCUCUAUUUUCAGGCCUUGUGGUUGAAACCUGAUGAUCAAUUUUGUACGGAAAUGUUGAACGUGGCUCUCAUGGAUGAAUGUCAGAACGGGGUUGAUUCAAAGGUUGAGCUCUGCUAGGAAUUGGUCAGUUAAAAUUAACCGCCUUAUUCUAGUUCUUGUUGUAAUUUAUCUGUACUAUCAUCAUUGUGACGCCUAACAUAACUUAUAAUUUAUUCCAUGCAUCAAUAACCAAGAGACUGUUACAAUAUAUUCUUUAAAGGGUCAAAUACACUUCUACUUUUCUUAUUAUCUUAGUGUGUGAAUGGGCAGCUUUGUUUCUCUGCAGUGUUGUCUCCACUGUCUGUGGUUUUGGUCUCUGAUAUAGGAGGUCCCUUGAGUAGUCCCCCGAACAGCUCUCCUGGAUCAUAGUAAAUCUCAAUCUCCUCUGCUCUAAGUGAUUCGUCAACCUGUAUAGAGAACCUCUAGAAGUAAGUAAAUCCUGAUGCUAGAGUUUUAGCCAUUAAAAGAUUAUAAGAAGGGACCCAUUCAUGUUUCAGACAUACCUUUAGAACUCCUAGACCCAGGAAUUGAACCAUUUCCCCAGUAGGAGCAUGACCUUUGAAAGUUCCUUCAAAGUAUCCCCAGUGUCUAAAUUUGAAGGCUAUAACAGGAGGCCCCGAGUACACAGAGAGUAUUUCCCACGCAAACCCGCGUGGUAAAGCAGAUCUAAAGGCGUCAUGUGAUGACUCAAAGCUCUCUUCCUCGGGCUUAUAGUACUGAAACUCUUCAGGCAAAGAGUUCUUGAGCAAAGCAUUGUAACUCCCAAGCCUAAGCGUCUCUUCAGCUGAUAAACCUUCUCUCCCUAAUAAAUAAGAGACUUAAAUCUUUGUUUGGUAAUUAUCCAGUUUAAGAUCAUAGUGAUCAAGUGCUAGCUGUAACUACCAUUGACAAAGAGCUUAAACUUCUCAGGGUUUAUAGUCUUGAAGUCCUGUAAACGGAUCUUAUGUGAGAACUCCAUCUCCCAUGACUUGAUCGCGUUUUGCACUGUCUCUUCUAACGAACCUUCUGGCCACACCUGCGCUCAAAAUCAAAUACUAUCAACGAAUCAGAUUCACAAAAUAUAAACAUAGCACAUACCUUAAGUGAAACAUAUAUUAACCGAAGGACCUUAGUCUGGCCUUCUUCAAAGAGCUGGUUCACACUAUUGAAGUCUGGAGGGUUAUCAUACCUCCAUUGAACCUGUCCUGCAUCUUCAAGGACUGAUCUAUACUUAUCUCUCUCUUCCCUAGUAGCCAUAUUAGCUUUUUAAUGGAGAAUGAGUUAUGAUUGCUUGUAUCUUUUAUAAUCUCACAAUACAUGUUGAUUGAUAUUUAGAAAUUAGUUUAAAAUGGAUUAGUGGUGAAUCCCGUUUUCUUAUCCGCGUAAAGUUGACAUUUUGAAGUUGUUAAUUGUCUCAAUCAUAUUUUCUAAAAAGUUGCAACCAAUAACCAACAAUUACUUCUUUGGCUGUCCAAAUUGGCUUCUUUUCUAUCCAAUUACAUAAUGAUAAUUUCUAAGACUAGGAAAUAGAAAAUGUAAACCAAGGAAUUUUACAAGAAAAUCUUGUGCAACUUUUUGAAGUAUAUGUUUGCUAUAUGUCACAUCGGAUAUCAUAUGGUAAUCAAAGAUUUUUGAACUUUUUGGAAAUUAUUACAGCAACUAGUGAACCAUUUAAUUACUAUAUAGGUCUCUACUUAAAUUUUAUGAUGUUUUCGUACAUCUAGUCUAACAGCGUGGUGAUUUGUGUUAGUAAUCUAAGCAUAGUGUUGAAAGAAAAUAAAGAUAGGCAAGAGAAAGGAGUUGGUUUUAGUUACAUGGGUUCUUUCUUCUUCGAAAAGCUUGUUCACGGUGUCGAAAAUCGGAGGACCACCGUAUCUCCACCGUAUGUUUCCCGUUUUUUCAUCGUUCAAGAUUGAUCGGUACUUGUCGGCGGCCAAUUUAAGAGACGAAAGUCCACCCUCCAGAGCAUCCGCAGAAAAAGACAUUUUUGUGAGUUUGCCUAGAGAUUAUAAAGAUAAGAAGACAGAACCUCUACUACAUAUAUAGUAACCACCAUUGUAACGUUUUUUACAAAAGACAGAUGUCACGAUUUUGUCGUAAAGAUUAGAAGAGUCAUCAUUCGAAGAGUCAUCAUCACUCACGGUUUGAAGAAGUUUUUUCCUGGCGGGAGAAUCUAGUUUAAACUGAGGAAAUAUUAUCUUUUCCUCAGUUUAGACUAGCUCUUAUAUUCUGCUUGCUGUUUCUGCAGAUCUUCAGGCUAAAGAAAUUGCUGUUUCAUACCGUAAGAAGAUUCCUACAUCUCGCUUUUCUGCUUUAGGUCAACGUUCUACGAUCAAGGAAGGGAAAAUCUCUAAGAGCAGAAGAUCGAUGAUGGCUAAGAUUUAUUCUUACAUUUCAGAGUAUUUUGGUGUGUUACUGAAGCACACAGAGCAUAUAUCCAGAAUAAAGUCAAAUAUAUCUAUUUCGUUCUAUAUGAAGUAUGAACCAUAUAUUACCACAUUAGCCUAGCCUAUAAUAAACAAACCAGUAGUAUGAUCUUCAGAAUAACUUGUGUGGAAUAAUCCCUGUUAUAAUCUUCACAUAUGUCUACAAAAGAAAAGAUCAAAUAACAUAUCACUACAAGAACACAUACCAUGAUCUAAGCGUUUAUGUAUUUUUAGACAGAGAAGCAAAAGAAAAGAGAUUUCACUUUCAUUAGUUCAUAAGGAUAAAAAGAAAGAUGCAGGGACAAGCAUGUGCUAUUUUCAAUCAUACCUUAAAAGUCCAGAAGAAGCUGGGGAAGAAUCCUCUCUAAAUGAGUAGCUUCAAUCUUUUCCAUUCCCUCAGCUUCAGCGAUUAUAGCAGCGCGCUGCACAGCCUCUGCCAAUGCCGAUAAAAUCCUUAAGAUAGCUUAUAGAUACAACAUGACUUAAAGAGAAAACUAAGUAGUUUCUAAAAUGCAAAACUUGACCUGAGACAAAACUCUUGAGAAGUUCACAGCUGAGUUUUAAAGCAUUUGCGUUUGCUACAAGAACCAAUAAACCAUAAAUAUUCAUGUCUCAUCUACCAAUUAACAUGACAAACUAAGCAACAGUGUAUAAACGAACCAGAAGCAAGUCUGUUCUUCUUGGUUGUUCCCAGAGCAACCUGCACAUAUUGCAAAUGCAUAAUUUAGCAUCAGAAAUAGUAAUCUUCCUCCCUUUUUUGAACAUUUUGAAUCUUUGAAAUCAGAAGAUCAUAGCUGUUACAGUCAUACACCAGUAUCUAGUGAAGGAGUUACGAUACCAAAUGAUAAUUCCAAUUUAUUCUUGCGGUUUUACUUUCAAUAGAAUACCUCAGCUUCCGUAGCAUCAAUGGCAUCGCUCCUCUCCCUUUCUGCAUCGCAAUCGAAUAAAAAAGCUCGCAGAUAAGAUCAACAUAAAGCGAAUAAGUUACUCUGAGAAAACAUGGAUGUGUACCGCGAAAUCUUCGGGCCCAAAUGUGCUUAAAAAUGGCGUGAAUCAGAUCCUAAUUCCAUGAAAAUCGAAGGUAAGAAGAAUGUUAGAAUCGUGGAAUUGAGACGAUAAAACGGCGAAGUAGAAAAGGAAGACGUGAGAAGAGAUUACAGAAUCGAAGGUAUUGUUCGCGUCCAUGACGUUUUCCGCAUCUAACGAAGCUUCCUGGUGAAAAAAAAAAAAAACGGAGACCGCUAAAAACUCAGAAACUAUUUUGAAAAAGGAAAACUAGAAUCAUGGAAAAUCACAGCCAUUACAUACAAAAUCACAAAAACUAUUCUACAAUUGAAAGAUCACAAGCUAUAUAUACCUUGAGAUGUUGAUACAACGACGGCAACGAUAUACAGUGAGGCGGCGACAACGAGCUCCGAUGAAGGAUUGGAGGGAAGAGAACUGUGUAAUUUGGAAGACGAAGAUUGAAGAAGGAAAAAGAGACAAGAAUUAAACGACAACGUAUAAAAGUAAAAUUUGGUGAAAUAAUAAGCCCAACCCAUUAAGACUCAGCCCAUAGAAUGCCACGUUGUCAAUUGUCAUGUUGUUUGGUUUGAUCUCUCAGACGCGCUUCAUUUAGCUCAUUUCCUCAAAUGAUUUAAAAUCCUGCGAUUUUCGUGGUCUAUAACCUACCCGAAUUGAUGAAACGCGCUAUACGCGCUGUUCAUGCGCGUGGGGGUAGUCUUCAAUUGUCAUGUUGUUUGGUUUGAUCUCUCAGACGCGCCUUAGUUAGCUCAUUUUCCCAAAUAAUUUAAAAUCCUGCGAUUUUCGUGGUCUAUAACCAACCCGAAUUGAUGAAACGCGCUCUUCAUGCGCAUGGGGGUAGUCUUCAAUUAUUUGCAUAUUUAAAAUACACGCGACAAGUGGGCCGGACCUUAUACACACUCUUAUUUUUGCCAUUGUAACCGUUUAGUAAAUAGUAACCUAUAUUUUAGAACAAUCAGGCCUGGCCCAUAUAGCACCAUCUCAUGUAAUUGUAUCAAUGUACAAGCCCAAAGCUCAAAUCUUAUAGACCGAAAUUUCAUUGACUUGGCCCAUAUCCGACCACUGAUUCGAUUUUAUUUCGUCAAAUUUAUCCUCAAACAAAAAACUGUUCACCUAGAUUUAACCAAUCUUCACGGUCAAGAUGAGUGAUCCGAGAAUAAAGCUCCUGUAGUUUCAGAACUAAGCCUAAAGUAUGCUGUUUCACGAACGAUCUAUGAUUACUAAACAGAGGAAUCUCAAUCUUCUUUAGGACUUGAUACGACAUCAACGAGAUACUGAUUCAACUUCUGUCCAAACGUCUUCACAGAGAAUGAUUCAACGACAUGGUUCCUGGCUUCAGCUCCCAUUCUAUUCGCCAACUCAGGAUUCUCGAUGAAUCUAGCCAUCGCCGAACUGAAAUCUUCUGGAGUUGGUUCACAAAGAUAGCCUGUUACUCCAUUCUUUACCGUCUCCACGGGGCCACCACUGUUGCAGGCUAUCACGGGUUUGUAUGCAGCCAUUGCUUCUAAUGGAACAAUACCAAAAUGUUCAUCCUAGCAAUUGAUAUGGACAAUGAAAUGAGAUGAGAUUGAAAACUUGGAGAAAGACAAAAAAAAAAAAGGAUGGUGACUUUUACCGUGGGGGUGUAGAGAACGCACAAGCAGCUUGAGAGAAGUUCAUUUCUUUCAGCGGUUGAACAAGAUGUGAUAAAGUUAACUCGAUCAGAAACUCCUUCUUUCUCGGCUAAACUUCUGAGCUCCUCCAAGUACUCAACAUUCUCCUUCAAUCGCUCGUCAUAUCCACCUGAAUAACAGAGUUUUGUUAGGAUACACACAAACAGUAAAAUCUUCAUCUAGUAAUGAUUAUUGAAGAAAUAUGAAUAAUAAUACACUUGCCUGCAACGGUAAGGGUAACAUCACUCAGAUUUUGCUUAUGUUUGCAUAGGAUAGCAAAAGCUGAAACAGCUAGAUCGAUGUUCUUUUUCCUCUCAAAGCGGUUUAUGGAGAGGAAAUUCAACCUGCUUGAGACAAAGAAGAAGAGAAGAACUUAUAGAAACCGACAGAGAAGUAAUUUGCAAUAUGGAAGCUUGCUUUUCUAUCCUGGAAAUUUGGAGUUCAGGGAUAUACAAUACUUAUAAGUGUGGGGUUCAAUGAACUGAUCAAUAUUGACUGCGGGGUAAAGUACAGCUGGGCGACUCCCUUGUGCAUUUAGCCUUUUAAAUGUAUUGGCAAAUGUUGAUGCCGUGAAGUUACUGUUAACAAGGAUCAUAUCAGCCAUCCCUACAAUCCCACAAGUGAUAAAUAAGAAUAAUUUGAUGUCAGAUGGAUGUAAGUAAGAGGAAAUGAAUGAAAACCAAACCUGUUGUUUGUUCUUCAAUGAAAUCAAUGGGUUUCCGAUACAUCCGUCUAAGUGUUGUUGUAUGCUUAGCUAGCAAGAGAUCCGGGAAAUGGCAGUAGAAAACAACCUAUAUCCACAUAUGGUCAAAAUUAAGUUGUUGUAUAUAGUGAGCAGAAGAUAUGAUGACUAACAGCAAAAUUUGAAUACCUUAGAUGACCUUUUGAGUUUCAGCAAUGGGACUACGACUGAAACUUGGUCUGCUAGUACAACAUCGAAUGAAGACCAACCCAAAAGAACACAGAGAGCAACAAACAAGCACCGCAAAUAUGCACACACUGCGUGUAGUCGGUAGAAAAUAUGCCGUGGCAGGAAAGAUCCAUACACCGUAACUUGAAAGAUACCUGGAUAGUUGUUAAGACAUGAAUCAUACAUCACAAACCGUGAUCUUAUAAAGCUUACAAAUUUGAAGAAUAUUCUAAAACCAAAUGAUAAAUUGAGUGUCAAGAAUCUGAACUCUCAGUAGAUAGCUCUUUCAAAGCAAACAUCUUUCUGAAAUCAAGUAAAAUCGUCACUCACCGGAAAGAGUUUCCUCGAAGCAUCUGGAUUUGUCGUGGUGAGAGGUGAAGAUAUGAACUUUAUGACCGUGCGAGGCAAGCUCAACGGCCGCAUCAACAAUCAAUCUCUCUGCUCCGCCUGCAUAUACCAGAAACAACGCACUAGUGUAAAUUUGUGAGAUCCAAACGAGAAGAUAAUGACUUAUUCAUCCGUGUAUCAAAUCAAAGUCUGUUAAACUAGUUAUUGAUCUCUCAAUUGCGUUUACUCUUUGAAGUUGGUAAUAACUCCUCGGAACCAAGAUAGAUCGCAGAAGAAAGACCAAUUAUACGAGAGGAAGAAGGCUAAUCAGGGGGAAAUCAAAAUCGAACAAUUGAUGAAGAUCGUACCUAUUCCAAGAUCUGGAUGUAUAAUGGCGAUGUUCAUCUUUGAACCUUCUUUUUUCGCCAUUUACAGACUUGACUGGUUUACGUUCUUCUGUUUGCUUUCCCCGUGAACAAUUUUUAGAGGUGUCAAAAGAUAUUUGACCCGCCCGUCUUGGACAGAUUGGAUUAAAAACGGAAAAGUUAAUAGAGUUUCUCAAGGCCCACAAUUGUUCGGCCCAGAUAGCCCAACAGGUGAUUAAAUUAUUUAAUAUCACGAAAUUAAUAUCACUGAAUAUUUAUUCUGACGUUCAUUAUUUUUCUCUGAAAAGAAAUGUUGAAUUCUGUAUAUUUAUAAGGGAACAAAUGUUUAUGUAAAUAUAUGAUUUAGUCUGUGUCUUGCAACAUUCUAUCUCCAAAGUAUGGAAACUUUGAUUUGAAUACUCCAAAAUUCUCAGUGAGAAAAGAACAGAAUAUUUUUAACUAAUCAAAAUUCAGAAUCAAAAGUUGAGUACACUAAUACAUAUUGUCAUUGAUGACUCCAUUACCAAGUCGUGAGAAGUUUGAUAACAUGCCGAAAACUAAAUAAUAGUACCUGAAGAUUUAGUGCCUUCCAUAUACAUAACUUUGUGCCUCUUGAGUCUUUGACUCUUCAAUUGAAUACGUAGAAGAGAAACAAUAUGAUUAAGCCUCUGCGGCGUAGACAAAACAUAUAUACUGGUUAAUUGCAUCAAACUUUAAAAAAAAUCAUCAAGCAGCUUAAAAUGUCUGAAAGCACUAACCAAGGUUCUAUAUCAAAAACUGAAAUUAGAUGUAAUCAUGUAGACAUGUACACUAACCAACGCAUGCCUCAGCCUCAUUGUUGUCCUGUGGGUUACCAGCUUUAUCUUCGCACAUAUGUUCCUGAAAUGAUUCACACAAUUUAAUUUGUGAAAUAACAAGAUAUAAGAGAGUGCUUGUUCUCUUGGUAUGCUUUCUCACCUCGACCAUGGAUGAUGUGUUCUCAUUGUUCUCGUUAGCAUUAGAUAUAGCAAGAGAAGCAACGCCUUUCAUUACUCUACGUGGUAGAAGCUCAAAAUCCCAGCCAAGUAGUUCACAGACAAACUGAGCGAAAACCUUGUGAGCUCGUAUUUUCAUUUUUGGUACUUUAGUACAAUGUUGAACAACUCCAUAACAGUGUUUGAAUCUUUUUAACAUCUUCUUAUCAGUCGCAGCACAACACACCAGACAGAUAAAAGCUCCACCUUCAUAGUUUUUCUCAUAGUAACUCUUGAGCUCAACAUUCUCGGAGAAGACUUUAGAUAUUAACUCCAACUCCUCAGACAGAUUCUCAUCACCGUUCUCCUCAGUUCCAUCAGCUGCACCAGUACCAUCCUUGACAAAAAUGUCUUUCAAAGCUUCUGAUGCAUUCUGUUGCAUUUGUAACACCGCAGCCUUUGCGUGUUCUUCAACCGACAUGACCUGUUGUUUCUCCUGAGGAAUCUUCGAGUCUGAAGGCGGCUCAGAUGCACCUUCCACAACCGUCUAUCAAGAGCAAUAACAAAAAAAAAAGUUAAGUAUUUCUGAAUGACCAGAAUUAUUCAAGAAACCUCCCAAGAAUCACAAUGAUCCAGCAAAUUCAUCUUUAAUCAGAUCAAAACCUUCCCUCAGAACAACAUAAAUAAACUGAUAAGCUUGUCUUUGAUCAUUAUAACCAGAUAGUAACCUGAACUAUCAAACUAUAACCCGGCCCUUAAUUGAAUUCCCACAAGCAAAUCAAUCAUCUUUUUCGAAACCAUAGACUACAAUAGUUGAAAGCUAACUUCUUUCAAGGCAUCGAAACUAACCUGAGAAUCUUUUUGGCUAGAAACAACUGGAUUGUUAACGUCCCAGCCAAGAACAUUGCAGACAACUUGAGCGAGAGCUCUAUGCUGAAUUUUCAAAUCCGUCUUGUGAAUAGUAAGUGAAUGCUGAAUUAAAGCUAAGCAGCUCUUGAACUUCCUACAACUUUUCUCUCCAAUGCCACCACAAACCAAACACCAAAACUCUCCAUUCCCAGUGUUCUUCUCAUAGUAUUCCUUCAACUUCACAUUCUCUUCAAAAACUCUCGAUAGAAACUGAAACUCCUUGGAAGAAGAAGAUUCUUCUUUCUCCAAAGACUGAUCUUCGUCUCCUUCAUCGAUUUCCGAUUCAUCUCCUCCGGCGACUGAGCUAUCUUCUUCACCGGAUUUUCGACCGAAGAACUCGCGACAGGUGCGAUGGAUAUCUCUCUGAAGCAUAUUCGCCGCCAAUUUCUCUUUCUCCUCGGCCGAAAUAGGUCGAGUCUUUUUACACGGCCUGUAUUCCGGCCAUCCAGAUCCCGUAGAAGGAGGCUGAGGCACGUCAUUGACGGGCCAUUCUCGACCCGAAUCAGGCCUAGGACGUUUGUUGUUAUUGUAGAGAUUUUGAGGAUUAUUAGGGUUUCUGGAUAUGAUCUGUGGAGUAACAGCUCCAUAGCGAGAGAGAAGUUGCAAAUCAGACGGCGGGAUGUAAUUCGGUCUGGGUCGUUGAAUCGGGUCGUGAAUCAGGUUGAAAUUAGGGCUAGGGAUUGGUUUUCGGGUAGGAGGACCUUGAUGCCAGAGGGAGUGAAGGUAGAUUACUUCUUGCUUCAGAGAUUCAUCGUCGUAAAUAUUCAUCAUUCUUUGUUUGUUUUCCGAUGAGGAAGAAGAACUUCAAGCUUUCCGUUUUUGUCAUUAGAGUUCACUUUUUAUAUUAUUUUAGAUCUCUUUUCUCUUAACAAUUUACCAUUUACUGCAUUUUAACGCCUAAACUUUCACUUUAUUAUGUUUUUCACCUAAUCCUCUGAUUUCUUACAAGUUAGACCCAAAACUUCUAACGUUUUAAAACUUUUACCCCAAAAUCUCUGUUUUUAACAAGCUGAUCCCUGAACUUUUACUGUGCAUAAUCCCCCCCCCCUCCCCCCUCUAAUUCUCUGAAGAACAUUUUAGAUACGAAUUGACAUGGAAGAUCAAUCGAAACUUUAUGGGGAAAAAAAACAUUAUAAGAGGUAAGCCACAAUAUUGUAAAAUUUACUACAUUACAUGUUCUCAAAUUUUCUAAACUCUUUAGCCCCACUUCUUCAAUCGUUUGCCUCUUCUCCGGCAAUACGUCCACACUUCUUCGAUGUGUCGUCUCUCCUUCGAGUUAAACUUUUUUAAUUUCUACCCUUAGUUUGGUCUGUCCAUAGUCUGUGUAUGUGUCUUAUGACACUUAUGUGUAAGAUUAAUAUAGUCGCACUAAUCAACAUUUGUGGAACAAAAGCGUAAAUCAUGCAUCGUGAUAUAUCAUAGUCUAGUGCACAUGCAAUUUUUUUUUUACACGAUUUAUAACGUUACAACUUACAACGCUGUGUUAAGCAAUAGGCCUAGUUUGCAAACUAGUAGACUAUUAUGCAAACAAUAAUUGGAAUAAUGCAGUUAAAAUAUGAAACAAAAGUUAGUCAGUGAAACUUUUUAGCUAGCAUUGAUCUUUUUUAUACAUUUAUACAUGUAUAGAUUAAUAAAAAUUUAUAACCAUUUCAAAAAAAAUUGUAGCAUUCGUAAACACUUAAUUAAGGAGCACAAUAUCCCCGGAGCUUAAUUAAACAGGAAGCCCCACCGCAGAAACUAAACCCCUAAAACAUCUGAUCGAUGUAAUUCCCUUCAUAUUCACAUUAAUGAAUUAAAUGUAUACGCCUAUGCAUUCAUGUAUAGAUGCAUAUAUCACGAUGCAUGAUUGUAUACACACACUUACAUCUGAGCCAAAACUAGGGUUUUAUACCAUUUGUGUGUAUAUGUAUAUUGUAUACUCUCUAGCUAGGGUUUACAGCGAGGUAAAAUUAAUGAACAUAUUAAUUUAAGCUGUAUAAAAUAUUAUCUAGUACAGUAAUAAUAUCCACAUAAAUAGUUAAGAAAAAUGAUUAUGAAACUUAGGGUACACACCAUGAUGAUAUAUGUAUAUGAUCUAAGAUCAAGAUUAAUCUUAUAGUUUGGGUAUGAUACGUAUAAAAUUCAACUAUGCAUUAAGAGCUGACUAUCAAGAAACGAAUGUAGAAUUGUUUCUUUUCACUCUAUAUGUAAAAUUGUAAAUAGAUCACAAAAUAGGAUUAAAGUACUGAAAAUUAAUAGAGAUUAUGGAGAGUAUUAAAUGCUUACCAUUAACUAAUUCCACUUUGUUUUAUUAUAGAUUUUUUGUUUGCUUCCGCUAAGAAGCCAAGUUGGAGCUACUACUAGUUCCCGUAGUACCAUCUUCACCAUCAUGACUCUUCAUAGGAUUCCUCUUCUUCCUCUUUUUUCUUUUCUUGUACGGAACUCCUCUUGCCUUCGCCUGUGAAUCUCUCACUUCCCUCAGAAAAACCCUAAUUCCGCCGCCGGCAAAAGGGUUUCUCUCCGGCAAUCCUCCGUUCUCCUCGAAAGCCGCUCUUAGCCGUCCGAUCAAAGCAUCUAAACUCCCCCACGCUUGUUUUAAAGGACAGUUACACUGUCCCGCUGGCUCAACCUGUCCGAAGAAAACGCAUCCAUGGAUAUGAACCUUUGUCUUCCCAAACUGGUCGAGAUAUUGGAGGAAAUCGAGGAUGUGGUUUGAUCCACACUGCGAGAUGUGAACCGGUGGCUGUUGGUUACGCAGGUAUUGACAAAACGUGUUCCAGUCUCGUCGUUUCUGUGACUCGUACCGGCUUAACGCUGGCGGGUUAGGAGGUGAUUGCGGUUGGUGUGGUUGUGGUUGCGGUUGCGAUUGCGGUUGAGACGAUCCUUCUGCUAUGCCUUUGCCUUUGUUGCUAUGACUAGCCAUGGUAGAACGUUGAUGGUUAUGUUGACAUGAUCAUCACCUCAGGCUCAUAGCUAAUAGAUACGAUUCAUCAGAAAAGAAAAAGUUUUUUUUUUUCUUUUGGUCUUGAAAGGAGAAGAAGAGGGGAAUAUAGAGAAACUAUGUCAAUGAUGGUGGGGGAAAACUUUAGAAAAUUUUAUACACUAAUUAGAAAAUUAAAUCUUAUUAUAUUCUCGCGUAAAUUAUUUGAUGGGAAUAAUAUAUAUACACACACGUAGCAUCAAAUCUAUAAGGGCUACAAAAAAACUGAAAGCUAGUGUUCUAUUACUUUAUUUUCAUUUUCAGCAAAAUCUAGUGUUCUAUAAUUAAUCAACCUCGAAUAUAUAAAUCAUUUUUUAAAACCAAGUUCGUUUUUAGUUGAAAGUAAAGUGAUUGCUGUUCAGAAUUAUUUCGAACCAAACAAACUUAAAACGUAGAUGUAUAUAAAAUUAAACUAAUUAAGUAAAUGCAAAUUAAGUAUAUGAUAUUUUUUGGAUUAUCAAGUUAAGUGAUAGAUGAGGGAGACAGGGGAUGGGGCCAGCAAGAGUGCUUUAGUUCUUUCUUUUUCAAUCAGUAGACCUAUCAAAUUAUUUUCCCUUCCUUUAAUUUGUACGAUUAGCAUUUAAGUAUUGUUUACUAUUUACUUUAUUUAAAUAUAUUUGUUGCUAUUAAAAUUGUAAUUAUGUUUCCAUUCAGCUUAGCAAUCAUUGUCAACGAAUAUUGCCGCCCUAUUAUGAUGCGUAACAAAAGAAAAACAAUAAUACUGGAAUGGAGAAAUAACACAUAAAGUAUAAAGUAUGAUCUAGUAGAAAUACCAAUAUAUUUACGUAUAAGAGCGUUUUCUUUGUGCAUGGAAAUUGGAAACGAUGAAAACCAAACAAAAGAAGAAUGUGGAUAAAUCGAUAAUUAAUAGGCCCAUAAAUAAAGCCCAAUGGACCUUAAAUUUUGUAAAUAUGAUUCUCUCAAAUAGAACCAGACAAAUAAAUCUAUGGAGGUCCCAAUCCCAAAGAUCCGCGAUGGACGCUUGCAUUUACUUAUUUAAAGUUUUGUCAUCUACAGAAUUCUAAUGUUAUUGGAGUGUAUUAAAUAUUUGUUGUCAAAAUUAAAUAAGAUUAAGGAUAUUCCUUUUUGGCUGCCACUGAGGCACUGACCAAUCGUUACUAGAAAAUUUCUAAUAAACUAGGUGAAUAUCCAUUAUUCAAGGGUUGGUUGAAUAGUUUUUUCUUUCUAAAAUGAUAGCAUAACUUUUGUGGUUAAAAGAAGUAUUCCCUUUGUUUAUAUUUAAAACAACAAUUACCUACCUACUCUCCUAGGAUAUGAUUCUUCCUAAUUUUUUAUAAAUUUGAGUUUUUAAUUUUCCUGCAGAUACUCAUUCAACCAAGAAAAGAAAAAUCUCAGUAAUCAGUCGUAUGCAUAGAAAAAAUGGUCCCACGGCAUAAUCAUUAACCAACAGAAAAUUAUGAAAUGUGCAACAAUAUCGAGUUGUCUCAUUGUUAUUUAUACAAAACAAAAGCAUUAAUUGAAUAUUGUAUAAAGGACGCAUUAUAAUGAUCGACUAUUAAUUUCAAUUUUGAUAAUCUGAAGAACAUCAAUAUCAUCCAUUUUUAUUUUGAUAAUAUCAUACUUGACUAGGACUGAGCAUAAUACGCGAGUCUACGAAAACAAAAACGGUGAAGCAUUAUAACAACACCAAUUAUUCAUUAAAUCUAUGAGAAUUCACGUUGGUUUCGGUUUAUAAAUCUCGCUAAUAUUUGAUGUAAGCAACGGAAGAAGUGUUGGCAUCUUUGAUAAGUGUACCAAGAAGAGGAGCAAGCAAACAUUUCUUGUCCUUCUCCUUGUAGAAGUAACCCAAACACUUGCAAUCACGAUCGCACUUAGCCUUGCAAUCGUUCACAGAAGUUGGGCCUUGUCCAUCAUUAACAUACGGCCCAGUAAAAUGCUCAACACCGACUAUCUUGUAAUAAUUGACAGCUUUACCCUUGCCUCCGCUGCAAAACUGCGUCGUUUUAGGUGGAGCGCAUUUAUCACUCCAAGCUAACAGACCUUUCGGUGUAGGGCACCCGACGCACAUUCCUCGAUCGCAGUAACCGUAAUCGCCGCAAAACGUCGGCAAACCGCAUUGACGGACGAAGUAAUUGGAGAAGAAAGCGAAAGUCUCUUCCCAUUCGAGAUACGUCGCGGCAGGGAAAUACGAGAAGGCCUUGAGGCUACCGUCGGAUCCAAGUCUCAGAUACGAUAUCGUUCCAUUGUAGUUGAUUUUGUUUAAGUUUAAAGUUCCUCCUCCGCUUCCGAUUGGUCUAACUUGGAGUAACCGGCGGUUAUUACCCGGGUUCGUAGCGGGUUGUGGUGCGGGUUCUAAGAGAAGCUCGUAAGCUGACGGCUCCGUUAAAUUAUCGAACUCUCUUGUAACGGCGAACGUGACGGUACCGCGGAAGUCGUGAUCCGUCCAUCCCCCGUAAACUAACGGCGUACCGGUUUUGUUAACGUACAUGGUUAAGCCUUUGUUGUCCAACACCAUGCUGUACGGACCAUCGGAGCCGUUCAUAUCAGAUGUACGGCUAACGAGUUUGUUAACUCCGUUAACUUUUAGGGAUUGGCCGACGAGGAGUGUAUCGGUGGGAUGAUCGAAACUCUGCCAAACGAAUUUUCCAUGUUUGUCGUGUAGCACCAUGUUUCCAUUGGGCAAGAUUUGGAAUCCGGUGACGCCUUUGUUGGCUGUGUUAGUCUGCCACUUGACUUGGCCGUUUAACUCAGCGAGCACAAGGUUUCCGUUUCGGCCGAAUGAGAGUGUGGAGUUGUCUCCGACGGGGUUGUUGCGAUUGGCGUCCCAGAUCCAACGCGUGAAACUCAUGUCACGCCUCGUUCCGACUCGGAGAGCUAACACGUAGGCGCUAGGAGUUGUAUUGUAAAACAUGAGCUGGAAAGGAAUUGUGAAGAAAUUCUGAUUCGGUGAGUUGAGGAAUCGGUAACUCGCGUCGUACUCGGUGAUGUAUGGGGCGUAGCCGGGUUCGUUGAGCACUCUGAAUUGUUUCUCGGGAGGGACUUGGGCCAUGACAACCGAAACAGUUGAAAUGGCAAGUGCCGUGAUUAGUAAGUAAUCAAACCUAAGCAUGGUUGUGUUCUUUAUGUUUACUGAGAUUGAGUAGUAGAGUGAGAUGAUUUUCUAUAUCCUUUAGGUGUAUAUAUAAGAUCUUAACUUUGGGUCGUUGGGCUGUAUUCGUUUGAAAGUCCUAAGUUUUUUUUUUUUUUUUUUUUGAAUGGUCCUAAGCUGCAAAUCGUGUCUUCGUUAUACAGAUCAACCAAUGGCUCAUUUAUGAUUUGGAUAAGAUAUGUCUACUGAGAAUUUUCGAAAAUUAUCGUAUAUACAAAAGUUGUGAGUAAAACACUAAUUAUAUAUAUUGUUGUUAAUCCGUUUUUAUUACACAAAUUUUGUAUAACUAAUCUCAUGAAAAUUGUUCAGACAAAGUUGACCAUCGUUUUUGACAAAAGAAAAUUUAGAUUCUCCAAUCGGAUUCAUACUUUAAACACUUGUUUUUAAAUAUAGAAUGUACUCGUUUAAAUACUUUAAACUGUAAAAAUAUAUCUAAAAAUCCUUUCAAGAUUGCAAUCUACCCGAUCACCAUUUUGAUCUCUACUCAAAUUAGUGAAUAUUUGGAUAACUAAGUACCCACACUUCCCAAACUAGCUAUAUAAAUUUCUCGAUUUUACCGUCUUGUAUGUAAAUAUACUUCAUAAAGUAAUUUUAUAUAUUCUAAAGUCUAGACUACACAUUCCACCUUUAUCUGACCCGCCACUAGACUGUCGUAUAUAUAUAUACAAAUUUCCGAGAUAAUGCUAACAGAUAUAAAAACAUCUCCGCCAGCUUUAACAGUAAAAAAAUUAAAACUCACAAUAAUCAUCUUGUGAUGAUCGAAUCUUUUAUGUAAGUUCAGACAUCCAAAACAGUACUGUGAGUCAGAUUUUGAUGGUUGAUGGAUGCAUAGCUGCUGGGCAAGCUUUCACUUUUUAUCCCAUGUAAUGCUAAAAAGUAAAAAGUAAGACCACAAAACUUGUAAAAAAUAUGUACGAAGGGAAGUGGACCACACGGUUUGUCCGAUUAAGAUAGAAUUAUUGGGCUAUGACAAAGCCUAAAGGCCCAAUGAGUUGGAGAAGUGACAAAAUUUUUGCUGUUCUUUUGACAGUAUGAGUCCCAACGACCAUCUACAAACCUCAGUAGUCAAUUGAAUUAAGAACCAAGUGAGCGGUAUUCCAAGUGGAGGACCAGUGGACUACAAAACUCUUGUCAGAGGCAACAAAAUAAUGAUAAUGCUUCACAUGGUAUUUUGAUUCUCAAAGGUACUAUAUAUAUAUAGUAAAUACAUCUGAUGGCUUUUUUUUAAGGUAAUACAAUAUAUUCAACGGUGGAUCAUUACAAGCACACCGAUUAUUCAUUAAAUCUCUAAGAAUUCAAAAAGAAUUCGGUAAAUAACUUUCCCAAAAAAACACUAAUAUUUGAUGUAAGCAACAGAAGAAGUGUUGGCAUCUUUGAUAAGUGUACCAAGCAGAGGAGCAAGCAAACAUUUCUUGUCUUUCUCUUUGUAGAAGUAACCCAAACACUUGCAAUCACGAUCGCACUUGGCCUUGCAAUCGUUCACAGAAGUUGGGCCUUGUCCAUCAUUAACAUAAGGCCCAGUAAAAUGCUCAACACCGACUAUCUUAUAAUAAUUGACAGUUUUACCCUUGACUCCGCUGCAAAACUGCGUCGUUUUAGGUGGUGCGCAUUUAUCACUCCAUCCGAGUAAUCCUUUUGGUGUAGGACACGCGUUGCACAUCCCACGAUCGCAGUAACCGUAAUCGCCGCAAAACGACGGCAAGCCACAUUGACGGACGAAGUAAGUGGAGAAGAAUGAGAAACUCUCUUCCCAUUUGAGAUACGUAGCUGCUGGGAAAUACGA
rnacentral:lncRNA from 1 species